AAUAGCUAUAGAUUGAAAUUUACGAAUUUUUUCUUAAUUUGACGCCCAUGCACGGGCACGCCAGGGGGGUGAAAUUUAUUUAUUUAUUUAUUUAUUUAUG